rnacentral:rRNA from 1 species
CCAGGGGGGAGAUCAGAUACCGCCUAGUGCGGCAAGUAACGAGCAUCCUCUGUUUGGUCCCCAGUGGGCCAUGACCUUUCGGAAACAACUUUCGGGGAAAGAGGUCAAGAAACUUAAAGAAUUAGGAAAGGGCCCCAGAGUGGAGCCUGCGGCUUAUUUGACUCAACACGGGAAAACUCACCCGGCCCGGACACCGUGAGGAUUGACAGAUUGAUAGCUUUUUCAUGAUUCGGUGGUUGGUGGUGCAUGGCCGUUCGUUAGUUCGUGGAUCGAUUUGUCUGGUUUAUUCCGAUAACGAGCGAGACUCCAGCCUACUAACUAGUGCUGGCAUUGCUUCUUGUGCUAUGCACUUUCUUAGAGGGAUUGGCUGCGUCUAGCGGCACGAAACGGAGCAAUAACAGGUCUGUGAUGCCCUUAGAUGUCCGGGGCUGCACGCGCGCUACACUGGCAAAGGCAGCGUGCUUUCCGUCUCCGAAAGGGCCGGUAAACCCUUGAAAAUUUGCCGUGAUUGGGAUCGGAAAUGCAAUUAUUUCAAGUGAACG